rnacentral:lncRNA from 12 species
AUUCGUCCUCCACUUUUUUUUUUCUCUUCAGCUAACUUGAUUACAAGAUGACUCCCAUACUGUAACUGCUGGUCAAAAAAAUAUCCUUGUGGAGAUGACAUUAUUCUUUCUAGCUCCUGUAAUACCCAUAUCUUCUCUCUGUCCAAUCAUUAAAAUGAGGCCUAUGUGGAAAAGGACGACAUCGAGCAAAGGACAUAGGUGGAAACUCCCUCCACCUGCAGCACACCGUCUGCUACUCUCAGCUGAGAGAUUUGAAGAGAGCAAGAAGAUUUACUUCAGAUGGCUGUGGCAUCCCUGUCAUCAUCCCCAUCUACAUUUCAGGGAGGGGUAUGCAGGAGGGAGAAGAGGAAGUAGCUGUCAUUAUGAAGCAAGAUUUUGGAAACAGGCCUGA